rnacentral:misc_RNA from 1 species
GGGAAAUAAAAUCACCCAGAUAACCUUUCCUCCCACAACGGAGAGAAAUGAAGAAAAAAGAAUUUUCUAUGCUUCAAAUUUUCAACUUCCAUAGCUGACCUUCAAUCAAUAUAGAUAAUAAUCUUCCUUCAAAGGGUAUAAUAGUAUAAAUUUCAGCUUUCUUUCCAUUUAUCCAAACACAAUCAAUCAGAAAUUCAAUUUCUUUUCUUUUCAUUUCAUUUCCCUCUCACAAAUUUUCAUUCUUUUCCCCCUACUCCGUUACAUAACAAACUAAA